GGUUUGUUUGUUUGCCUGUAAAUGGUUUCAUGGAAAAUAUUUUCAUUGUUUUUGCUGGAAAAUGAACUCCCACCUUAAAUCAUUCUCCAAAACACGGGAAAAUAAAGCCUGUUUUAAGGAAAAUGUUUUACCAUCUUUUUUUUGAUAGGACAUUUUCCAAUCUUUCUCCUUUUCACAUUCUAGCAAAGAAAAACCCUUUUCCCCUACCCCUUAAUUACGGCCCCGACAGUGCUUGCCUCCAGUCAGCAACACUUCUCAGCACCAAUCAUCGGUGUUCAUCUUUGGUCUUCCCCUUUUCCGCCUUUAGUUGUCAAAAUCUGCACUGCACCAGUUGACAAACAAACCAAAAAAUUCACCACCACUCUCCUAGCCUUGUCUUCUCUUCCUCCUAUUUUACUCGUCCCUCCACCUGUUUUGGAGUAGAAGAUGAGAUUUCUUUGUUUUCAUUGGUUUUCUAUGAUUUCUUGCAUCUGUUCUGAAAUAGGUUUUUUAGUUCUUGGAAGAGAAAUUGAGAUUUCUUUGUUUCCAUUGAUUUUCAUUAUUUCAUUAUCUGGUUUAAGAAUUUGGUUAUGAUAUGUUUAUGUUAAGUUGGUUUUACUUUAAAUGGUUUGUUGCAGCCAUGUUAAGCUUGCUACUAUGGCUUUGCUUAUAACAGGAACCCAAGCUCGACCUAAGAAAGUAACCAAAGAUGAAUUGGGAAAUGUAGCUAGGAUGGCUACUACAUUUACAGCCAGUGGUGGGAAAUUCGAUAGGAAAUUGCCAAGAGAAAAGUCUGCUAAAAAAUAAGAAAAGCAUCGCAAGUUUUUACCAGUUGUUGAAGGGUCAGGGAUAGGCUCAAGGAAGGAGCAAACUGAAAAUGUUCUAAACAAACUAAUCUCUAAGCAUUCGCAUGAGAUACUUAAUGUUGACAAGGGAUAAUGACAUCAAUUAUACUCAACACCCUAUAAGAUUGAAAAGGUCGUGGGAUCAAGAAAGCUAAGAUUGAGAUUGUGGUGGGAAAAGCUAAGAAACUUGGUGCCAUCAAUGCAGUUGUAACCCCAAAGAAAGCUGUUGAUUAGCAGGCGUAGAUAUUAAAGAAAAGUAGUAGCAUUGGAAAUUCACUACUUGUAUAACAUCACGGAUGACCUAUCCAUGAAGUAGGAGAUAGUGGAGUUGAACCUUUCUAUCUUUGUGUGUAUGUGUGUGUUUGUUCUUUUAUCAGUCUUUUAUAAUCUUCGGGUAUCAAUCUAUUAUACAGUUUGCACAGAAAUUUUAAAAAAGGAUGUUAUUUUGUAAAUAUCAUUUUGAGCACAGCCACAUUGUCAUCUCAAAUUCAAUACUACAAUAUGAUAUCAUCUAAGUCGAAUUCAUAUAGAAACAA